AUCUUCGGUGCUCUUCUGCUCCCUGUUUUUGCUCCUUCCAUCCUUCCAUAGAGCUCAAAUUGUCUGUUUCUCCACUUGGCGCCCCUUCCCUUUCCUUGAGUAGCAAAACCCACUGACUGUGAACUUCUUCAGGCCAGGACUUUUCCUUGUUCUGGCAUCCCCAGAACCAAGCACGAUGCCAGCUUCCGGCUGCUGCUUUUAGUAUUUGUUAAAGGAAUGAACAGCUCUUCUCAAAGCUCCCAAUCAUACCUCGAUGUAGAGGACUGAAAACAGCUGAGAGCUUUGCCUCUUCUCCUGGGACAUCAGUAUUUUAAAAACAGAUCAAAGCGACAUGGAAGAAGUUCAAUUACAUUGAAUGGUAGAGUUCCAGACAGCAUUUGAUCCUUUCCUUUGAGCAAAGGACCUUCUCUAUCCCUAAAACCAAAUCACAGAAGCCUGUGGCCUGUCAGGGCUGCUGGAAAUGGUGGUUUCAGACUCUUGCUUGGGAGCAUGACACUGAAAACAGAAAUAGCUUCCAGAAGACUUCAGAUAAGUUCAUGGAUAAUAGAGCCAAAAAUGAUCACUAAAAGGGAAGUCAGAAAGAUUCAGAGCUCCAUCUUUAGACAGGUAAAAUCUGAUUGAACAACAGCAGCUGCCUUCAUCAAGGGAGCCUGGAGAGCAAACAGCGGAAAAACAGUCAUCUGGCAACAUGUUGCAGGAAAAAGACAUUACAAAAGAAUAACAAGCUUGAGGAAACAUGGAUGCCACACCUGAAAGGCAGUGGCCAUUUCGGUAAUCACCUGAGGCAAGAUCAGAAAAAAUCUAAAAGAAUUGCAGAGAUGCUGACCUUGAUGACUUCAAGCUGCUGAACCAAGUCCCAGGGAAAUCAGGAUUAUAGUUGUUUGGCUGUUUCAGACACACCUGCUGGUCAUUCGCCACCUGAACCCACAAUCGGGUAUUUGGACUCGGCAGUGAGUCCUGCCACGGAGGCAGCUCUGACGCGACUGGUGGAGGAUUAGCACUUCACGUGGGAAGAAGCAGCAGGAAAGGAUGAAAAUCUUAAGUAGCAAAGAUCUUGUUUUCGUCUCUAGAACUCCAGUAAUAAAGGCCAGUGGCAAUG
ensembl:lncRNA novel transcript